CAUUUUCUUGAUUUUACUACUUCUUACUUGGUCUUUAAAAUUACGAAUUAGCUAUAUCUGCUACUGAAAUAAAUAUCAUCUUUUAUUUAUCUUGUUUACUUUGUAUUGGCUUUGUUGGGAGCUAUGUAUGUAUGUGAAGGGAGCCAUCACCUUUAUAUGAACAAUAUUGGGUUUCUCCACUGUAUUUGCUUUGCUUGUUUAAAUUUAAAUUUGUACUUUAUUAUGCUAUAAAAUUUGGUUUAAUCUUCAGGGUUCCUGCUUCCUUAUUGUUUGGUCCUCCUUCUAACCCAUAUCGGUUGGUUUUAGUUAUGAUCCCUUGCUUUUUAAAUUUCAACUUCUGCUUUCUGUUUGCACUUAGUUAUUUGUUUGUAUUGGUUUUGACAUGGUUUUCUUCCCUUCUGUUAUCGAGUGGAGUCCUGCUUUGUUGCUAUGUACUUUAGGAUGUCCAUUGAUAUACAAUUAUUGCAUGGCUUCUUUGCAAUGCGCAAGCAAAAGAAGGAGACAAUCUGGAUUACUCACUACAGCCACAUAUAUCAUCCAACAUGGCAUCACCUAAAGCAACUGCAACCAUGUUGUGUGUUCCCUAUAAAUGUGGCCGAAUUCGACUUUCUCCCUCCAGUGGAUGCUGCCAACUAUUAAACAUGGCUCACAACGGAUGAAGGUAAAGCAACUAUUUGAUCACAUCUGCGAACAUUAUUAUACCAUCUAGUAGUCUUUGGCAUGAUAGGUCAGGACAAUACGAUCAAUGCAAAUUUUGUGUAUACCCCUGUAUAUUACAUGUAUUGUUCUCUAAAGAAGAGAACAUCAAUCACUCUACGUACAAUUAUAUGUUUCUGCUGUUUCUUUAUAAUAAAAUAAAUCACUUGGGGCCGGGCCCAAGUGGUGAGGUUGAAUUUAGCACAGAAUCCAUAUUUUGCUUCUUACUUAUAUUUUUGCGGUUGUGAUCAUCACUUUGUAUAGGGUAUGGAAAUAUGAGUUUAAGGCCCAGUUUGGGAUUGAUUCCUAAACUGCUUUUGGGUCUAUUGUAGGCUGUUUGGUAAAAUCCUAGAUAUCAGCUUUUGGUCACUCUAGCUUCUUCCAACAGCGGAAAUUGAGAAGCUACAUUUCGUAGCUUUUGAAAACGGCUUCUGGGGGAAGAAUGAAAAACACGGAGAAAUUAAUGAAUUGCCUCGCCUCUAUUACUGAUCGCCUUCUCCUCCUCCUUUUGCUGUCGCUGAAAAAAUUUGAGCAGCAUCAUUCAUCCUUAUCAGAAAAUUGAGAGAGGACUUCCACUUCUGAUCACCUUUUGAAGAGCAUUCAGCCUCAUUUCGGGCACAAAUACAGUACAGGCAUUUGGUUUGUGAAAGCUUACAAAUUUGAAAUUUCCCUUGAAUCCGAGUUUACCCAGAAAAACAAGCCCAGACCCAGUGUGAGAAAUGCACGAUUUCUGCUUCACGAUCCUCUACAGGUUGUUGCUGGUGGGUGGAGGAAUAUUUGGGCAUUUCAGAAAGUGGAACACAACUCCUCUGUUUGAAGGUCUAGGCAUUGGAUUGGUUCUCAGUGUUGCUAGCAAUCUCAGUCUCCAAGCCUUUCAUAAGACUUGCUCUAAUUCUUGAAACAGGAUGCUUGCAAUUUUUCUGGCGUUGAGGGCAUCAGAGAGUUUUGUUACUCUAGAAGUUACAAGGUGAUGCAUUUAUGUGAUCAUGACAUGAAAGUGAAGCUCUCCAUGAUUUGAGUUGUGAGGAUCCUAUCUCCAAGAUCCAAUUUGUUAACCAGCAACAACUUUGAGGCGGUGUUUUAGUGCAAAACUCAAAGAAAAGGCAAUGGAACUCAUUCUUUGAAUCUGUUACGUUAGGCAACCUUCAUUUUUGAAGGUCUUCCUCAGCUAGAUAGAUUUUCUUGAAUAAUUUAUCUUUUCAUGAUGUAACCUUGGGGGGAUUCUAAUCAAGCAAGUUUUAUUUUUAUUUUUUCUUAUGAGACUACGGUUUUCCCAUUUGUAUCAUACAAGCUUCUUAAUGAGAUUCCUCUCCAUUAGAAGUACUUUUAGU